rnacentral:sRNA from 1 species
GCUGGGUGCAGUGGUGCAUACCUGUAAUCCCAGUGACUUGGGAGGCUGAGGCAGGAGGAUUGUAAGUUCGAGGCCAGCCUCAGCAAUUUAGUGAGACCCUGUCUCGG